GUCCAUUCGAAGACACCCGAUAAAUUGGAAUGAUAUAGAAAAGAUUAACAUGUCUCAUGCACAAGAUGACAGACAUGAAUAGAUAAAUAUCCAUUGUGGUU